rnacentral:rRNA from 1 species
GCAAGUCGAACGGGAUCCUUUGGAUUCGUCUGAAGGUGAGAGUGGCGAACGGGUGAGUAACACGUAGGUGACCUGCCCCCGGAGAGGGGGACAACCACUGGAAACGGUGGCUAAUACCCCAGAUGUUAUUGCGCUUAGAAAGCAAUUACUAAAGUUCCGGCGCUCCGGGAGGGGCCUGCGGCCCAUCAGCUUGUUGGUAAGGUAAUGGCUUACCAAGGCUAAGACGGGUAGGGGGCGUGAGAGCGUGACCCCCCCACACUGGUACUGAGACACGGACCAGAUACCUGCGGGUAGCAGCAGCAAGGAAUAUUGCCCAAUGGACGAAAGUCUGAGGCAGCAACACCGCGUGGAGGAUGAAGGCCUUCGGGUUGUAAACUCCUUUCUGGGGGAAGAGAAAGGACGGUACCCCAGGAAUAAGUCUCGGCUAACUACGUG